ACACAUGCAAGUCGAACGGAGUCAAGAGGAGCUUGCUUUUCUUGACUUAGUGGCGAACGGGUGAGUAACGCGUGAGUAACCUGCCCUGGAGUGGGGGACAACAGUUGGAAACGACUGCUAAUACCGCAUAAGCCCACGGAUCCGCAUGGAUCUGCGGGAAAAGGAUUUAUUCGCUUCAGGAUGGACUCGCGUCCAAUUAGCUAGUUGGUGAGGUAACGGCCCACCAAGGCGACGAUUGGUAGCCGGACUGAGAGGUUGAACGGCCACAUUGGGACUGAGACACGGCCCAGACUCCUACGGGAGGCAGCAGUGGGGGAUAUUGCACAAUGGGGGAAACCCUGAUGCAGCGACGCCGCGUGGAGGAAGAAGGUUUUCGGAUUGUAAACUCCUGUCGUUAGGGACGAUAAUGACGGUACCUAACAAGAAAGCACCGGCUAACUACGUGCCAGCAGCCGCGGUAAAACGUAGGGUGCAAGCGUUGUCCGGAAUUACUGGGUGUAAAGGGAGCGCAGGCGGACCGGCAAGUUGGAAGUGAAAACUAUGGGCUCAACCCAUAAAUUGCUUUCAAAACUGCUGGCCUUGAGUAGUGCAGAGGUAGGUGGAAUUCCCGGUGUAGCGGUGGAAUGCGUAGAUAUCGGGAGGAACACCAGUGGCGAAGGCGACCUACUGGGCACCAACUGACGCUG
rnacentral:rRNA from 1 species